GAGAGAGAGAGAGAAAUAGAGAGAGAAAUAGAGAGAGAGAAAGAGAAAUAGUGAGAGAGGAGGGUAAAGAGGGAGGGUAGGAGAAGAGGGCCGAUCGGCCAACAGCCGCAUCUCCUCUCUCAAGAAAUAAGAAAGAAAGAAAGAAAGAGAGACAGACAGAGAAAAAGAGAAAGAAGAGAGAGAGAGAAAGAGAGAGAGAGAGAGAAAGAGAGAGAGAGAGAAUACCGAUCUCGCGUGUCGCAGAGUUACGCGGAAACGCGUCUAUACUCGUCCAUGGUGUUCCAACACGAAGGGAAAGUCUACUUUGAAAAAUCAAGUCGUAGUGCAUCGACGAUAAGGCUAACAUAAAUUGUACACGGAAACCUCAGGCUUAGAGAGAAAACGAUGGCUUUCGUGUUCGUCCAUGUAACCACGUGUGAAUUAUAUCCGUUCGUCGAUGAAAAAUAAAAAGGAGAAAAAAGAAAAAAUUAAAAUGGAGAGAGAGGAAGGGAGGGAGGAAUAGGAGGAAGAAGGAGAAGGAAGAAGAAGUUGAUGAUGAUGAGGAUGAUGAUGAUGAUGACGAUGAGUCGAAGGAUAUAUCUCAAAAAAAAAGAAAUAAAGAAAAAGAGAAAAAAAAGGAGAAGAAAAGAAUAAAAAGAAAAAGAUCAACAAGGAACACGCUCGUGAUCCUCACGUAGGAUCUAUUUCGAUAGAUGAAUUGGAAAGGGUUAGAAGGGUGGUCGAUGAUUGUGGAUCAUUACACGUGCUGUCAUCUAUCCAAGAAGUCGUCAAGUUUCUUUUCCCUGGACCGAAGCAGUCAGUACAAUCUAUCCAAAUUCUUUCAAAACUGUUUGAACGAUUUUGAUCGUACGUCGAUAAGUUCUAAUUCAUUCAUUCAAAAACUUUCUAAUGACUAAAACAAGGGAUGCAAAUUCUAUUUGACCGAUGAAAAACUUAGGUCGAUCAAACAGAAUUUACAUCCCUUGUUUUUAUCUAAAGAAUAAUCCUUUUUACUCGAUCGAUAAGGAAGAAUAUCUGUCACAAAAUUUUCGAAGUUCUCUCUUACGGUUUGCGAAUAAUUUUCAAUGGAUAACGUUUAAGAUAAUAUCGUAUAAACAAAGCAAAUUUAAUAAAAACUAGAAAUAUAUCUCGAUUUAAUGCCAUCUGCAAUCG